rnacentral:rRNA from 1 species
GACGAACGCUGGCGGCGUGCUUAACACAUGCAAGUCGAACGGAAAGGCCCCCCUUGGGGGUACUCGAGUGGCGAACGGGUGAGUAACACGUGAGUAACCUGCCCUUGACUUCGGGAUAACUUCAGGAAACUGGGGCUAAUACCGGAUAGGAAUCCUUGCUGCAUGGUGGGGGUUGGAAAGCUUCGGCGGUUUUGGAUGGACUCGCGGCUUAUCAGCUUGUUGGUGGGGUAGUGGCUUACCAAGGCUUUGACGGGUAGCCGGCCUGAGAGGGCGACCGGCCACAUUGGGACUGAGAUACGGCCCAGACUCCUACGGGAGGCAGCAGUGGGGAAUAUUGCACAAUGGGCGGAAGCCUGAUGCAGCAACGCCGCGUGCGGGAUGACGGCCUUCGGGUUGUAAACCGCGUUCAGCAGGGGCGAAGCUUGUGGUGACGGUACCUGCAGAAGAAGCACCGGCUAACUACGUG